rnacentral:rRNA from 1 species
CAACCUACCUAUCAGAGGGGAAUAACCCGGCGAAAGUCGGACUAAUACCGCAUAAAACAGGGGCACCGCAUGGUGAUAUUUGUUAAAGAAAUUCGCUGAUAGAUGGGCAUGCGUUCCAUUAGGUAGUUGGUGAGGUAACGGCUCACCAAGCCGACGAUGGAUAGGGGAACUGAGAGGUUGGUCCCCCACACUGGUACUGAGACACGGACCAGACUCCUACGGGAGGCAGCAGUGAGGAAUAUUGGUCAAUGGCGGGAGCCUGAACCAGCCAAGUCGCGUGAAGGAAGAAGGAUCUAUGGUUCGUAAACUUCUUUUGCAGGGGAAUAAAGUGCAGGACGUGUCCUGUUUUGUAUGUACCCUGAGAAUAAGGAUCGGCUAACUCCGUGCCAGCAGCCGCGGUAAUACGGAGGAUCCGAGCGUUAUCCGGAUUUAUUGGGUUUAAAGGGUGCGUAGGUGGUUUGAUAAGUCAGCGGUGAAAGUUUGCAGCUUAACUGUAAAAAUGCCGUUGAAACUGUCGGACUUGAGUGUAAAUGAGGUAGGCGGAAUGCGUGGUGUAGCGGUGAAAUGCAUAGAUAUCACGAAGAACUCCGAUUG